CUUUAUACACGGGAAUAAACAUUGUGAAACUCUCUGGUCAAUGUGCAUGGAAAGUGCUAAGACAAAGAAAAGAAUAGCUGCGAAGGAACUUGCUUUUAAAGUUGAGUAGAAACUCACUGUCAGAUACGAUCAUGUUCAAAGUAGCUUAUGAUAAUCUAUAUUUGCAUCAUCGUGCUGAUUGUGUGGUUUCUCAUUUGCAAUUUUUGUCAAAGGAUGUCUUAUGAAUAUUGUCCUCAAGAACAUAAAAGUCGAAGGAAUAUUUCUACAUGUUUGAGCACUCUGGCGACUCUAGUGUAAAACAGUAACAAUGUGUAACCAUCUGUUCUUCUUCCCAGUCCUGAGCCACCAUUUCACAGGAGGGUACAUUGUUAUACAAAUUGUGUAUAUAAAGCAUACAGGGUGUGUUAAAAAACUUCAAUCCGUAGAUAUCAUCUGACCUUUAGAAUUUCCUUUGAUCCACAAGGAGGCGUAAACACAAUUAAAAGGAAUUGUAUUCUUGGA